rnacentral:rRNA from 1 species
UACGUAGGUGGCAAGCGUUGUCCGGAUUUACUGGGCGUAAAGCGCACGCAGGCGGUCUGCUAAGUUUGGAGUGACAGUUGGUGGCUUAACUGCCAAAGUGCUUCGAAAACUGACAGACUUGAGGGCUUCAGAGGGACACGGAAUUCCGGGUGGAGUGGUGAAAUGCGUAGAGAUCCGGAGGAACACCAAAGGCGAAGGCAGUGUCCUGGGGAGUACCUGACGCUCAGGUGCGAAAGCCAGGGGAGCGAACGGG